ensembl:lncRNA
AGCCUGUCUUGCGGAGAGGUGAGGUUAGCACUCUGGUGGUUGUCGACCAAAACAAUGCCAAUAUGUAAAUGCUAGUCACCCAGUGGCCCUUUUUACAUAGUAUGCGUUUUAUAUGGAGACCUCUGUGUAAUAUCUUUGCAUUGUUCAUUCAAGCAUACAGUUGGACAUACCUUAUCUAUGAGCUGCAUGAGGUUGUAAGAUUUAGACAUUUUAAACUUUUGGUUUUGUUUGGAUUUGUUUGCCCUAACAACUCACUGCCCCCUCCCUUAUUUGUAUUUGUUAUAUAUAUAUAUUAUAUAUAAGGCAGCAGGACAUCCCUUGUUUUCGUUUUCGUUUUGUUUUGUUUUGUUUUCUUUCUUUUGUGCAAAGGUGUGUGUCUCCAGUCAUCUGCAGAAUUCCUCCAAGUCCCCCAUGAUGUUGCCGACAGGAAGUGAUGUCAGUAUUUAGGAGGGAGUGAGCCUAAACUCUGUCCCGUGGCCCUCUGUAGCUGCCGGUGACGAGAGAAUGUGAUUAUGAAUGAAGGUCUGGAAGAUGCUGCUUUUUCUUCCCUCUCCCCUCUUCUCGUCUCCGUGGUCUUCCUCCUCUUUAGUGGUGUCAGGGUCGUGUUUGUUACGCGCUUUCUCUAGGCACUUCUUUGCUGAGGUUGGAGGAGUGUUUCGAUUAUGUGCAUAUCAUCCCAAUUGUAUAGCAUCGGUCAUACCAUGGGAACAUAAGGUUAUUGUCCUUUUUUUUCUUCUUUUUUUUUUUCUUUGGUAGGUGUGUGCGUGUGUGCUGUCGCUUUGCCGACAUCAAGUUUCUGUUCUCCUCAAUGAGGAUUGUUGCUCAUUUGUGAGCCUUCAUUAAAUCGAAGUAUAAGAAAGUGGUUCAGAAAUAUUUAUGGGUUAAUGUAGGUUACCUCUUUAUAACAACUCAUGUUAACUCAGCUUUUUUCAGAAUGAAUUGUACUAAUUUUCAUUGUUUACCAUGCGGUAGUGCUUCAAGACACUACUUAGAGCAAAAUAAAACUCGGUUUACAUUUAAUUUUGUAUUUUUGCAUUUUCGUUUUUAUCUUUAAAUUGUUCAAAUUAAAAUUGCUUUUAUCCAGAGAGGAAAAAAUGUAAUUGCCAACAAUCUAAUUAGGCAAGGAAUGUAUAAAUCAAACACCAAUGGCUAGUGGCAGUCAGUCCCCUUCUCUAAGUGUUACAUUUGUUGUGAGACUUUUUGAACUGAUUAAAGUUGAAAGAAUUU